GAGGGCAGACUGGAGAGGCUUUGCUCCUAAGGAUAUUUACUAGAUGCUGCUGGUCUGAAGAAAUACACAUAAAAAAGCCACAAGAGCUAAAAUAAAGCACCUGUACAGGCUAAUGCUGGGAAGAGAAGAUUUGCCUCAUUAACCUAAGUGAGUGGGUGAGAGGCAGAAUACUCUGAAAAUGGACGAGGAAGAAUAUGAGGAAGUUGUGGAGGUAAGAAAAAGAUCUGAAAGCAGAAAUAUUUGUUUGCUGCCUGGUGAAUACAUUAAUUACUUUAAAGAGAUGUUGUGCAUGAACAGAGAUGUUUUCUUGCUGUUUGGUCGCUGAAAUUCAGGGUAUGUUUAGAUAUUCAUUAUUUGU